CCUUCACAAAUUCUUCGCAGAGAAGCAGACACUCAUAUCUCCCUUGUCUCAAUGAACACGUGUGGAACAGCAAGCUGAUUGGUUGGUUCAACUGCUUUUUUGAGAGGUGGGUUUGAACACCAAGAAAACGUAAAUGUUAUACAAGUUGUACAAGGAACAGCGCAGAGAAGCAUGUUUCAGCCUUACUAAGAAUCUACUAAAAUCCCUACUCUACUUUUGAAUCUACUUUUUUAGGUACCCUGUGGAGUUUUUGACCACUUGUAGAGCUACGGAGCACUGUUUGUACAAGUGGAGUUUUGAGGAACACAAUAGCACAACAUGGAUAUAGUGAGGUUUUGUUAUGAGGAAACUGACAGCUCAGAAGUGGCUUAUCCUGCAGGAGAAGUUUGUUGGAGCGUCCUUUUUAACCUACAGAACAUUGGCAUUUGAUACUACUACACCAAAAAAAUGAUUUUUAGUGAAAGCUCCGAGCACUUCUACCUCCACUGGCUCUGUGGGAUAUCAAAUGAGACCCUGAAACACUGGACAUGAGAUCUGACUAUAUCCCAAACCCCCACCCCUCCAAAAAGUGGCAGCUAAUCCUGCCCCUGCAGCCCCGUGUCAGCUGUCUGCACCCCCUUCCAGCUGUCUCCCUAAUGAUAUACCUAAUGAGACAUCUGGGGGGUCUGUCUCUCACACUGGGACAGUAUGAGCUAACCAGAGGGGGAGUGCCUGGGAGUGCUGAAGGGGGAACACAUCAACUUUCCCACGUGUCCCAGUAUAGCACUGUGACUAAAUCCUCGUUGUUCUUUCAUGAAAUUUCAUCAACUGCUCCUUGAGGUUUUUGACCUGUAGUAGCACAAAUCCAGAGAGAGAGAAAACCGAGCGUGACGUGAAGCCAGAGUGCCGAGGUUAUCCGUGAAAUCAACCAAUAUUUGAGAUUCAUAAGUGCCCAUGCACUUGAAAGGAUAAGCCUGAGUCAAUCAAUCGCAUCUCUCCCAGCAGUUCUGCAUAAUGUCAUGGCAAAUAAGUUAAGCCUCUGGCUUUUAUUCUUAUUUCAGCUGAAAUCUUUUGAGACUCACAUGUGCCCUUGUGAGUAUUUUCAGUCAAGUGUACCAAGAGAAUAAAUCUACUGUAGUGGACAGCUCACUUACAUUAGAUGGUUUAAAUGCUGUCAAUGCUUCAACAGAAUUCUUAUUUCAUUGGCCUAAUAAAUAUUUUACAUUGGUAGGUAAAUGGUUUUUCUUUGUCAUUCCAGUUUAUAAAUUGUACACUUUAGUGUACACAAAAGUGUUUUGUUUGCGUUGCAACUUUAAGAAAAGUGCUAUACAAAUAAAGUUAUUAGAUUAUAUAAAGAGCUAAUGUGCCUUUUUACAUUUACAGUGCUGUGACCAAAAGGAUUUUCAACUAAAUGAAUGUCUGUCUAUAUUCCUUUAGUGUCACUCAUAUUGCAGUUAUGGAGUUCAUUUACAGGGAAACAUUUCAAAUCCUUAUUUAUGAAGAGAAGAGCUUCAGCAUGACCAGAAUACAUAUGGGUAGUAAAAUUAUUUAUAAAUUUAAGUUUUUGUUUCAUCCCUCCAACCUUUUGUGGAACUGCAUUCCUAAACUUAUUUUGGAAAAUCAUAAACAACAGUCACAAACAUUUUAACAAAGGCAAGGCUGCUAAAAUCAAAAGUUACAGGAAGAAAUAUUUUGACUAAAGCCAAAAAUAUACAGUAUAUUGUUUCAAAUUAGCACAGCUGGUCUGGCAGCUCUCCACAGGUUUACUGCAUUUGGAUUCACACAUCAGUUUGAAAAUGCUCCACUCAGCAGGUUUGCACAAUUCCACUCAGGUUAGCUGGUAUCUGCCAGUCCAGGUGUUUCUAACCUUCACUCAUCCGGUAGAAGAUCCCAGAGCAAGGCCCAAUCCCAAUGUCUACACUCUCAGACUUUGAGAUACUUUGCCACUGGGGACUAAUUUAGGACCAUCGCAAACGGCUUCCGCGUUGGGAUCCUCUCCAUUGUCUCCAGCAUUGUCCCCGAUGUCGCCGCUGCUAUCUGGGACUGCCUUGUGGAGCAGUUCAUGGCUGUGCCCACCACAAAGGAGUGGAGGUCAAAAGCACAGGGCUUUGAAGAGGUGUGGAACUUUCCUCUCUGCUGUGAGGUCCUGGAUGGCAAGCAUGAUGUUCUCAAAGCCCCUGCUGAUUCAGGAUCCCAGUUCUUCAACUACAAGGGAACCUUCUCAUUAGUUCUUCUUACAGUUGUGGAUGCCCGCUAUCGUUUCCGCUGGUUGACGUCAGUGGCUAUGAAAGAACAAGUGACGUGGGAUUCUGGCCAGCUCAGUGUUUGGUAAAGCUCUUCAAACACACCUUCCCACUGCCUGCUGACUUGCCACUACCAGGAGCUGAACACAGAGGACCCGAGCCACAUGUCUUUGUUGCUGACAAGGCCUUUCCACUCCUGAAGAACCUCAUGAGCCCAUUCCCUGGGCCCUGUAUGGUUUUUAACUACCGUCUGUCCCGAGCUCGGCUGGUUGUGGAGAAUGCCUUUCGGAUCCUCUCCUCAGUGGAGGAUGAACAGGCGUGCCAUUGAGGUCCAGCCAGAAGUUGCAGAGGGGUGUGUGUGUGUGUGUGUGUGUGUGUGUGUGUGUGUGUGUGUGUGGGCCACCUGUGUCUGUUCUCUAUAACUUCCUGCGGAGGACUACCCAGGCCACUGCAGUGAGGGCUAGUGUCCCUGUGGUUGAGGUGGAGACGCAGCCAGGUCUGGGAAGAAUUGCUGCCAACAACUCAGCAAGAGAGGCUAUCAGGAUUAGGGAGGCCUUCACAUCCUACUUCUCUGCAGAGGGAAAAGUUGAAUGGUAAAACAACGUGUAGUAUAAGCAAUCCCAAAACAUUACAAACGAGGGGUUUAUUCAACGGUUUAUUUUAGUUUUUGCUUGAUUCUGUUUCGACCAACAGUAAUGCACUGAUUACUGACAAAUGCAGAUUGACAUGUACCUCUCCUCCACUCAGUAGGGCAAGCGCUUGCAG